CCUCAGCACGGGGAUAAACCCGGGAAACUGGGUAUAAUACCCGAUAGUUCUGGGAUGCUGGAAUGCUUCCAGGACGAAAGCUCCGGCGACUGAGGAUGGGUCUGCGGCCUAUCAGGUAGUAGUGGGUGUAAUGUACCUACUAGCCUACGACGGGUACGGGUCGUGAGAGCGAGAGCCCGGAGAUGGAUUCUGAGACACGAAUCCAGGCCCUACGGGGUGCAGCAGGCGCGAAAACUUUACAAUGCUGGCAACAGCGAUAAGGGGACCUCGAGUGCCAGGAUACAAUCUUGGCUGUCGUAAUGCCUAAAAAGCAUUGCAUAGCAAGGGCCGGGCAAGACCGGUGCCAGCCGCCGCGGUAACACCGGCGGCUCGAGUGGUAACCGCUAUUAUUGGGUCUAAAGGGUCUGUAGCCGGCCGGAUAAGUCUUUUGGGAAAUCCAGCUGCUCAACAGUUGGGCUUUCAGAAGAUACUGUUCGGCUCGAGGCCGGGAGAGGUGAGAGGUACUUCAGGGGUAGGGGUGAAAUCUUGUAAUCCUUGAAGGACCACCAGUGGCGAAGGCGUCUCACCAGAACGGUCCUGACGGCAAGGGACGAAAGCUAGGGGCACAAACCGGAUUAGAUACCCGGGUAGUCCUAGCCGUAAACGAUACUCGCUAGGUGUCAGCCACGGUGCGACCGUGGUUGGUGCCGUAGGGAAGCCGUGAAGCGAGCCACCUGGGAAGUACGGCCGCAAGGCUGAAACUUAA
rnacentral:rRNA from 1 species